rnacentral:rRNA from 1 species
AGGAUGCGAGCGUUAUCCGGAUUUAUUGGGGUUAAAGCGCGUCUAGGUGGUGUGGUAAGUCUGAUGUGGAAAUGCUGGGCUCAACUCCGUAUUGCGUUGGAAACUGCCAAACUAGAGUACUGGAGAGGUGGGCGGAACUACAAGUGUAGAGGUGAAAUUCGUAGAUAUUUGUAGGAAUGCCGAUAGAGAAGUCAGCUCACUGGACAGAUACUGACACUGAAGCGCGAAAGCAUGGGGAGCAAA